rnacentral:misc_RNA from 1 species
UACGUAGGGAGCGAGCGUUGUCCGGAUUUAUUGGGCGUAAAGAGCUUGUAGGCGGUUCAGCAAGUCGGGUGUGAAAACUCUGGGCUCAACCCAGAGACGCCACCCGAUACUGCUGUGACUAGAGUCUGGUAGGGGAUCGCGGAAUUCCAGGUGUAGCGGUGAAAUGCACAGAUAUCUGGAGGAACACCAGCAGCGAAGGCGGCGAUCUGGGCCAGUACUGACGCUGAGAAGCGAAAGCGUGGGGAGCGAACAGG